rnacentral:rRNA from 1 species
AACGAACGCUGGCGGCAUGCCUAACACAUGCAAGUCGAACGAGACCUUCGGGUCUAGUGGCGCACGGGUGCGUAACGCGUGGGAAUCUGCCCUUGGGUUCGGAAUAACAGCGAGAAAUUGCUGCUAAUACCGGAUGAUGACGUAAGUCCAAAGAUUUAUCGCCCAAGGAUGAGCCCGCGUAGGAUUAGCUAGUUGGUGAGGUAAAGGCUCACCAAGGCGACGAUCCUUAGCUGGUCUGAGAGGAUGAUCAGCCACACUGGGGCUGAGACACGGCCCAGACUCCUACGGGAGGCAGCAGUGGGGAAUAUUGGACAAUGGGCGAAAGCCUGAUCCAGCAAUGCCGCGUGAGUGAUGAAGGCCUUAGGGUUGUAAAGCUCUUUUACCCGGGAUGAUAAUGACAGUACCGGGAGAAUAAGCUCCGGCUAACUCCGUGCCAGCAGCCGCGGUAAU